rnacentral:lncRNA from 1 species
CUGAAAGGCUGGGAACAGGUUUGACAAAGUUUGCCCCUAUUCGGAGUUCAGGUUUGUCUCUUCCCCAAUUGAUCCCCCGUUGCUCAUUCACUACCAAGCAACUUCCUCGUUUAUGCCCCAAACCAAAUAGGUAAAAUUUAUACUACUAGUCCUUUUUCAUUUUAUCUCUGUAGUACUCUGUUCCACAAUGCUGUUCUAGAUUGCAUUUUUGUUCUAAUCAACUUCAAUGUUCUAUGAUGAGGAAAUUUUUUAACCAAAUUCAGUUUGAUAGUUUUUCCUUUCUGAAUUGGCAAUAAUCAUGAAAACCCAUUUGAAUUUUGAUGCUUUUGUUUUGUGGGUUUAAUUUGACGUUGGCAUAAUGAUUGAAUUUGAAGACGCUAAACCGCCCAAUUGAGUUAAAUCACUGUAUAGUUGAACUCUGUGUACAAGUGUGAAACGUCUCUUGAUAAAGGAUUUGGGUAUUUCGAUGUCUAGAAUUGACACGAGUUUUGCAGGACUAAGUACCUCCGUCAUAUUGGUAUGACCCCGUUUUUCAUUAUUGCGAGAAAUUGUUGACAUAUACAAGGUAUAAUUGAAAAGGUAGAUUUAAUUUAUUUUCACUGUGAAUUAUAUGGAGUUUUGGUUGGUUUUAGAAUUAUCUUGAAUGCACUUUUCUUCCUAUUCGUUAGGAGUUAGGUUUGGCAGAAGAGAAUCCAGAAAAGAAUGGAAAGAAAGGUGGUAAAGUGCAAGAAGGUUUGGCAGAAGAGAAUACAGAAAAGAACGGCAAUAAUCCCUUCUUGAUUACUCAAAUCAAUUUUUCUGUACAAGUUAGAUCUUGUAUAACUACAAUGUGUAUCUUUUAAAGAUACCAGUGAGACGCACGUGACAUGAUAUAAUCGACAAUGUAAUAGCAUAAAUGUAAAAAUAUGUGGAUAGGUGCGAUUUUCCUGCAGUUCAAAUGUGUCAAAUAUUGAUUUAUACAAUGC